rnacentral:lncRNA from 1 species
AAAAAAAAAAAAUUAUUUUGAAUAAUUUAUGAAAAUAAAAUAAAAAUAUCUUAUGAACAAUGUCUAUAUUGCUUUCAUGCAUUUUUCUAAAUAAAUAAUCUUACAAAACUCAUACAUUUAAAAAAAACUAUACUCAAAUCUAAAAAUAAAUCUAUAUAAGAUACAAGAUAAAUUUAAACUAUAAUAAUUUUAAUAUGUUACACUUAAACUUAACAAAAGCUAACUCGACUUAAGUUAUUUUCAACAUUACAUGUG